rnacentral:rRNA from 1 species
GGGGUUCAGGGGUUCGUGCGUGGGCCGCUAGGUGUCGGGGCGCGCCGGUAGCGCGGGCGUUUACUUUUGGGGCUUGAGGGCGAAGGAUUAUCCAGGGGCGGUGCGCCCGGCGACGGGAAGGGCAGGGGUGUGCAGUAGGUCUGAGGAUAUACAUGGUGAGGCCACGGUUCGAUAUGAGGUCGUCGUCUCGUCCGUGGGCCGUGGCGGGUCCUUGCGUUGAGGCCGCUCGAGGUUAUAAUAGGUGGACGGAAAGAUGUAGCAGAGGAAACCAGACCAGACAAGGGUGAGCAUAGGCGAAGCGCAUGCCACACGGCGCCGCUGAUCAGAUCAGCUGGAUAGAACGGAAAAACAGAAAGAACUCCGCGCGUCGGUGCCGCUGGCGCCGCCAGACGCUCUACCUCCGCCGCCCCCGGCCUCGCCGCUGCGGCAGCGUGCGCAGGUACCACCUGUGCCUGCUGAAGCUGGACAGCGCCGACGACUUGGUGGCGGGCGCCUAGUUGCACCUCGCCGUCGCCAGGAAGCUGCUGGCGAGCGAGCCGCUGGAGAUGGAGAGGCGGUACCUGCCGGCGCCGCGGCCGCCCAUAUACCUGUCGAUGCUCUCGUACAUGAGGGGCCCGCCGCCCGAGGCAAGCGAGUGGCCGUGGGGGCGGAGGAGGUGCGCCGAGAGGAAGCUCGGGGUGGGCGACCAGCCGCUGCGGACCCUGCGGGAGUCCGCGAGCGAGCAGACGAAGGCCCCGGUCGGGGAGCCGUGGUAGCGGCGGCAGCUGUCGAGGAGGCCGCUCCAGGAGUUGAUGCUGGUCCACAAGCACUCCCUAAAGCACGGCUCGCGCGACCGCAAGGACUACUUGCCGCUCGGCCUUUAGCACUUCUUGAAGGACGACUUCUGCGACGACGACGUCCCCACCCUCUUCUCCUAGCUGGCCAAGUUCGACCCGCUCCCGCGGUACGGCCGCUCGAAGUUCCACGAGUUCCUGGGCUUCGCGCCUCACCUGUGGGACCGCCGCCUGAAGCCGCUCUCGCGGUAGCCGGCGCACCGCGGCCGGCUGAGGCCCAAGACCACCUAGUAGGACGAGGCGCGGAUGUGGUUCAGGUGGCCGCUGGUGUGCGACCGGCUCUGCGGGCUCACGGUCUUCCCGUAGGCGGAGUAGUACUUGGUCACGGAGCGGCUCCCGAAGCUGUGGAAGGGGUGGGAGGAGACGCGGCUGCCGACGACGUACUAGCUAGCGGCCUACCCGCACAUGCCCAUGGGCUAGCUCUAGGUUCGGGAGAAGAAGUACAGCGACGCCACGCGCGACGACGACGACUUCGGCCUCCGCCUCCCCUUGUUCCUGUAGUACCUCGCCUAGCACUGCGCCGACGUGCGCGACUCGAUGGUGUACGCCUGGAUGAAGACCGAGCUGAAGGUCGUCGAGUUGCAGUAGAUGGCGAAGUUCUGCCUCCUCAUGAGGGUGUGCCGGCAGUUGUUCAAGUUGCAGUAGGGCCUCAGGUAGGGCCUGACCGAGAAGCUGAAGUACGGGAGGGCGCCGCCGAUGAAGCAGCCGUUGCAGUCGGGGCGGUCCUACCUGAAGGCGACCAAGCGCGACCCCUUGACGCAGCGGUAGGAGCGGAGCGAGCGGUGCGGGCUCGUCCGGCCGCGGUAGUACCUGGAGUAGCUCCUCGCCACCCUCCUGGAGUAGCCGCUCUACGGCGAGUUCUAGACGAUGGGGCGGUAGCUCCCGGUGCUCACCGUCUUGCAGUGGCCGACGCUGGGGUUCUUGUGGUCCACCUCGAUGGUGUUGCCUCCGAGGACCGGACCAUUAUUCACGAUUGGGUGGGUGCAGUAUGUGUACGAGCUUCAGCUUCGAGCUGCCUAAGUAAGAAACUAAGCGCGUCACGACUAGACCGAGGACUGCCGCCGAACGUAGUUCUGGCCCGCCGAGUUCUAGCGCUCCGCCCGCUAGCUGGACCGCCUCCGCUCCGACCGCUCCCUGUCGACCGGCCUCAUGAUGCUGCCGUUCGAGCCGGCCAUGCAGCCCUUCGUCCGCUCUUUCGUGGUCUGCACCAGGUAGCGCCCCAUGGACCACCGGUUCUACUACGACCUCCUGGGCAGGGUGGACCCGUACUAGAGGGAGCUCCUCCUGUUCCGGUACUUGGGACACGAGUUCUCCAGACGGAGUACCUGACACACUCUACUCUACUACUAGCUACGGUGAACCGCGCUUGAACUGCGCUACAACCAGUCCUAAGUCCUUACGCCUACCCUUCCUUUUUUCUUGCACAACUAAAAGACCAAAUCGUUUCGACAAGAGAUGUAGUAACUAAUGGAAGAAUAGCUUUUAUGUAUGACCAUUAUCAUCAUUAACGAUCUUUCGCUUAAAAGGGUAUUAACGACAGGAUAAACCUUUCUGUACAAAACCGACAGAGGGUACUUAGGAGCAACAUGUUACACACAUACGCAAAAACAGUUUUUUUAACAAACAUAUUCGUAAAGCUGGAAAUCUCAUAGAGGUUAUCUGCCAAGUAUACAUUUUUAUUG